AGUCUGGUGCCAGCAGCCGCGGUAAUUCCAGCUCCAAUAGCGUAUAUUAAACUUGUUGAGUUAAAAAGCUCGUAGUUGAAUUUCUGCUGUAUCGUUUUCCUCUGCUUGACAGUUGGAUUUCGUUAUGGCUUAGUUGGGUUACAGUUUCUGUUACCUGACGUUUACUUUGAGAAAAUUAGAGUGCUUCAAGCAGGCUUUUGCCUUGAAUACUUUAGCAUGGAAUAAUGGAGUAGGACUUUGGUUCUAUUUUGUUGGUUUUAGGAGCCAGAGUAAUGGUUAAUAGGAACAGUUGGGGGCAUUCGUAUUUGACUGUCAGAGGUGAAAUUCUUAGAUUUGUCAAAGACGAACUACUGCGAAAGCAUUUGCCAAGGAUGUUUUCAUUAAUCAAGAACGAAAGUUAGGGGAUCGAAGACGAUCAGAUACCGUCGU
rnacentral:rRNA from 1 species